GGGUUGUGAGGUUAAGCGACUAAGCGUACACGGUGGAUGCCCUGGCAGUCAGAGGCGAUGAAGGACGUGCCAAUCUGCGAUAAGCGUCGGUAAGGUGAUAUGAACCGUUAUAACCGGCGAUUUCCGAAUGGGGAAACCCAGUGUGUUUCGACACACUAUCAUUACGUGAAUACAUAGCGUAAUGAAGCGAACCGGGGGAACUGAAACAUCUAAGUACCCCGAGGAAAAGAAAUCAACCGAGAUUCCCCCAGUAGCGGCGAGCGAACGGGGAGCAGCCCAGAGUCUGAAUCAGCUUGUGUGUUAGUGGAACGGUUUGGAAAGUCCGACGGUACAGGGUGAUAGUCCCGUACACCAAAAUGCACAGGUUGUGAACUCGAAGAGUAGGGCGGGACACGUGGUAUCCUGUCUGAAUAUGGGGGGACCAUCCUCCAAGGCUAAAUACUCCUGACUGACCGAUAGUGAACCAGUACCGUGAGGGAAAGGCGAAAAGAACCCCGGCGAGGGGAGUGAAAAAGAACCUGAAACCGUGUACGUACAAGCAGUGGGAGCCUCUUUAUGGGGUGACUGCGUACCUUUUGUAUAAUGGGUCAGCGACUUAUAUUCUGUAGCAAGGUUAACCGUAUAGGGGAGCCGAAGGGAAACCGAGUCUUAACUGGGCGUUAAGUUGCAGGGUAUAGACCCGAAACCCGGUGAUCUAGCCAUGGGCAGGUUGAAGGUUGGGUAACACUAACUGGAGGACCGAACCGACUAAUGUUGAAAAAUUAGCGGAUGACUUGUGGCUGGGGGUGAAAGGCCAAUCAAACCGGGAGAUAGCUGGUUCUCCCCGAAAGCUAUUUAGGUAGCGCCUCGUGAACUCAUCUUCGGGGGUAGAGCACUGUUUCGGCUAGGGGGUCAUCCCGACUUACCAACCCGAUGCAAACUGCGAAUACCGAAGAAUGUUAUCACGGGAGACACACGGCGGGUGCUAACGUCCGUCGUGAAGAGGGAAACAACCCAGACCGCCAGCUAAGGUCCCAAAGUCAUGGUUAAGUGGGAAACGAUGUGGGAAGGCACAGACAGCCAGGAUGUUGGCUUAGAAGCAGCCAUCAUUUAAAGAAAGCGUAAUAGCUCACUGGUCGAGUCGGCCUGCGCGGAAGAUGUAACGGGGCUAAACCAUGCACCGAAGCUGCGGCAGCGACACUAUGUGUUGUUGGGUAGGGGAGCGUUCUGUAAGCCGUUGAAGGUGUGCUGUGAGGCAUGCUGGAGGUAUCAGAAGUGCGAAUGCUGACAUAAGUAACGAUAAUGCAGGUGAAAAACCCGCACGCCGGAAGACCAAGGGUUCCUGUCCAACGUUAAUCGGGGCAGGGUGAGUCGACCCCUAAGGCGAGGCCGAAAGGCGUAGUCGAUGGGAAACAGGUUAAUAUUCCUGUACUUGGUGUUACUGCGAAGGGGGGACGGAGAAGGCUAUGUUAGCCGGGCGACGGUUGUCCCGGUUUAAGCAUGUAGGCGGAGGUUCCAGGUAAAUCCGGUACCUUUUAACGCUGAGGUGUGAUGACGAGGCACUACGGUGCUGAAGUAACAAAUGCCCUGCUUCCAGGAAAAGCCUCUAAGCAUCAGGUAACACGAAAUCGUACCCCAAACCGACACAGGUGGUCAGGUAGAGAAUACCAAGGCGCUUGAGAGAACUCGGGUGAAGGAACUAGGCAAAAUGGUGCCGUAACUUCGGGAGAAGGCACGCUGAUAUGUAGGUGAAGCGGUUUACCCGUGGAGCUGAAAUCAGUCGAAGAUACCAGCUGGCUGCAACUGUUUAUUAAAAACACAGCACUGUGCAAACACGAAAGUGGACGUAUACGGUGUGACGCCUGCCCGGUGCCGGAAGGUUAAUUGAUGGGGUUAUCCGUAAGGAGAAGCUCUUGAUCGAAGCCCCGGUAAACGGCGGCCGUAACUAUAACGGUCCUAAGGUAGCGAAAUUCCUUGUCGGGUAAGUUCCGACCUGCACGAAUGGCGUAAUGAUGGCGGGCUGUCUCCACCCGAGACUCAGUGAAAUUGAACUCGCUGUGAAGAUGCAGUGUACCCGCGGCAAGACGGAAAGACCCCGUGAACCUUUACUAUAGCUUGACACUGAACACUGGUCCUUGAUGUGUAGGAUAGGUGGGAGGCUUUGAAGUGUGGACGCCAGUCUGCAUGGAGCCAUCCUUGAAAUACCACCCUUUAAUGGCUGGUGUUCUAACGUGGACCCGUGAUCCGGGUUGCGGACAGUGUCUGGUGGGUAGUUUGACUGGGGCGGUCUCCUCCUAAAGAGUAACGGAGGAGCACGAAGGUUAGCUAAUCCUGGUCGGACAUCAGGAGGUUAGUGCAAAGGCAUAAGCUAGCUUGACUGCGAGAGUGACGGCUCGAGCAGGUGCGAAAGCAGGUCUUAGUGAUCCGGUGGUUCUGAAUGGAAGGGCCAUCGCUCAACGGAUAAAAGGUACUCCGGGGAUAACAGGCUGAUACCGCCCAAGAGUUCAUAUCGACGGCGGUGUUUGGCACCUCGAUGUCGGCUCAUCACAUCCUGGGGCUGAAGUAGGUCCCAAGGGUAUGGCUGUUCGCCAUUUAAAGUGGUACGCGAGCUGGGUUUAGAACGUCGUGAGACAGUUCGGUCCCUAUCUGCCGUGGGCGCUGGAGAAUUGAGGGGGGCUGCUCCUAGUACGAGAGGACCGGAGUGGACGCAUCACUGGUGUUCGGGUUGUCAUGCCAAUGGCAUUGCCCGGUAGCUAAAUGCGGAAGAGAUAAGUGCUGAAAGCAUCUAAGCACGAAACUUGCCCCGAGAUGAGUUCUCCCUGAGACUUUAAGUCUCCUGAAGGAACGUUGAAGACGACGACGUUGAUAGGUCGGGUGUGUAAGCGUAGCGAUACGUUGAGCUAACCGAUACUAAUGAACCGUGAGGCUUAACCUUACAACGCCGAAG
rnacentral:rRNA from 1 species